CGGACGGUUCCAUUUGUUUCCUAUGCCUCGUUAGACGAAGUGGAAAAUAAACCUGAGUACUUCAACGGCUGCUAUGGCGGUUCGAUUGCCUUUUGCGAACCUAAAACGCUACAAGGUUCAGUUGUAAAGAAUCUCAGGGAAGCUAACUUGGAAGUAACAUUAUCCGUUUGAAAUUUCCACGGCCCGGCGCAACUACGGUGAUUCAAUUCUGCGCAGACUCGGGCCACAUGGUACCGUUUCGGAGCUCCGAAUCAUCUAUUGGCAGCUCUCGAAACACAAGAACGCACUGGAGGAAUAAAAAGUUCUUUCAAAUACAUUCUCAUGUUUCUGUUAGUAUACAAAUUUUGACAUGGGUGGAAACUCAAAACAAUAUCCGGAUGUCAGCUACUGAUUAUGCCAUCAGGUUGGAACUAAUCAUCAAAGUUCACAGUGGCGGAAGAAGAGUAUUUAACAAGCAUACCCAACAGUGCUGCAGGGACAUCUGCCGGUCGCCCUCUUCUUUGUAGUUAUGUAGAAGAAAGGGCCGUCGACAAAGCUGAGGCUUUCAUGGUUGAAGUGGGUGGCUUGGGGAUGAUUGUGACCCAUCAACCAUUUAGUUACUUCAUAUAUAACAAAGUGCCCCUUGUUAUUCUGCAAUCGAAGCAAAACAAGAUACCAGAACUUUUCUUUCCUACAACCUUUUGAUGUAUGCUUGUGCUGAGAUUGCUGGGACCUCUUCUGUAGGAAUGUUGAACUGGGAUGGACCUCCCUAUCCACUCUAGCCAAUGCUUGCAUAAAAGCAGGACUUGUUAAUCAAGCCCCUGUGCCACUAAAACUUGCAGAGAAGAAGCUGUCUGCCUCUAAUUGCCUCUGGUAUCUUUUCCUUGUCACGCUUUAUACCUCUUUGAGUGAUAAGAAGGGAGUUCGUCUUGGGAUGCUAGUAAAAUUAUGAAUGGGACAAUCACAUGUGCCAGUUUCAUCUGUAUAUUAUCAUGUUUAGUAGAGCUUGGUGAUUUUUUGGUAGCCAAGAAAAGAGGAUCUUAAUGGAAUGGGAGUCCAACCGUAGAAAAUAUGACAUUAGAGCUUCUGAUGUUCUUUUUGGUGCCUAAACGUGAAAUGGACUGGUGAAAGAAACUGAACUGUUACAUCUCCAAACAUUAGAGAGAGGCGGCUUCUCAAAUCAUGAGACCUGGGAAAUUCUCAUGAAGGGAUGGGUGAGCAGCGGGAAUGUGAUCAAAGCUAUAGAUGCCAUUAAGAAAGAGUUUUCUUUGUUGAAACAUUGUAAUUAGAGGCCAUCACAUGGUAGUUUAUUGGCCAUUGCUGAGUACUUUGAGAAGCAUGGGAAUUUUGAAGAUUCAAACCA